rnacentral:rRNA from 1 species
CCUACGGGUGGCUGCAGUGAGGAAUAUUGGUCAAUGGACGAGAGUCUGAACCAGCCAAGCCGCGUGAAGGAUGAAGGAUCUAUGAUUUGUAAACUGCUUUUAUAUGAGAAUAAACUGAGGAACGUGUUCCUAUUUGUAUGUACUGUACGAAUAAGCAUCGGCUAACUCCGUGCCAGCAGCCGCGGUAAUACGGAGGAUGCGAGCGUUAUCCGGAUUUAUUGGGUUUAAAGGGUGCGUAGGUGGUUAGUUAAGUCAGCGGUGAAAGUUUGGGGCUCAACCAUGAAAUUGCCUCUGAUACUGGUUGACUAGAGUGUAGUUGCGGUAGGCGGAAUGCAUGGUGUAGCGGUGAAAUGCUUAGAUAUCAUGCAGAACACCGAUUGCGAAGGCAGCUUACUAAUCUAUAACUGACGCUGAGGCACGAAAGCGUGGGGAUCAAACAGGAUUAGAUACCCCUGUAGUC